UCAUAGGACCUAAAUAUCUUGAAGACACCAGGUCCUGUCUGAUCAUGGAAGCUAAGCAGGAUCAGGUCUGGAUAGUACUUAUAUGGGAAACUGCUGAGAGAUAACAGGUCCUAUAGG
rnacentral:rRNA from 1 species